GCGCCCGUAGCUCAGUUGGAUAGAGCGACUGGCUUCGAACCAGUAGGCCGCAGGUUCGAGUCCUGCCGGGCGCACCA
rnacentral:tRNA from 1 species